rnacentral:rRNA from 1 species
ACGGGGUGCAGCAGGCGCGAAACCUCCACAAUGCGCGAAAGCGUGAUGGGGUUAUCCCGAGUGCCGUCCCGAUGAGGAUGGCUUUUUAUCGAUGUAAGGAUUCGAUAGAAUAAAGGGGGGGCAAGACUGGUGUCAGCCGCCGCGGUAAUACCAGCCCCCUGAGUGGUAAGGACGAUUAUUUGGCCUAAAGCGUUCGUAGCCGGCUUAUCAAGUCUUUUGUUAAAUCCAACGAUUCAAUCGUUGGGCCGCAAAAGAUACUGUUAUGCUAGAGGACGGGAGAGGUCGACGGUAGUCCAGGGGUAGGGGUGAAAUCCUAUAAUCCUUGGAGGACCACCAGUGGCGAAGGCGGUCGACUAGAACGUGCCUGACGGUGAGGGACGAAAGCUGGGGGAGCGAACCGGAUUAGAUACCCGGGUAGUCCCAGCUGUAAACGAUGCGGGCUAGGUGUUGGGGCAGCCACGAGCUGCUCCAGUGCCGCAGAGAAGUUGUAAGCCCGCCGCCUGGGAGUACGCCGACAAGGC